rnacentral:piRNA from 1 species
AGGCGUCUGUGAAUGUUUCUGUU